UGCGUAGGCGGGUCUUUAAGUCAGGGGUGAAAUCCUGGAGCUCAACUCCAGAACUGCCUUUGAUACUGAAGAUCUUGAGUUCGGGAGAGGUGAGUGGAACUGCGAGUGUAGGGGUGAAAUUCGUAGAUAUUCGCAAGAACACCAGUGGCGAAGGCGGCUCACUGGCCCGAUACUGACGCUGAGGCACGAAAGCGCGGGGAGCAAACAGGAUUAGAUACCCUGGUAGUCCACGCCGUAAACGAUGAAUGCCAGCCGUUAGUGGGUUUACUCACUAGUGGCGCAGCUAACGCUUUAAGCAUUCCGCCUGGGGAGUACGGUCGCAAGAUUAAAA
rnacentral:rRNA from 1 species